AUCUGUGCUCGAGAAGCUGUGGCGACGGUGGAACGAGAAGGUUCACCCCAUGCCUCAGAGUUCUCCACCGGGAAGAUGAACCCGCAAGUUCCAGGCUGGACUAAAAGUGGAGUGCCUGAGGGUUCUCCUGGGAGAAGGAACUGUGCUGCAAGUCGGGAGGCGCACCAUCCCGUCCGCGCUCAAUGCAUCCGGCAGGAUGGUGAGGGAACUAAGCAGCAAUGGAUAUGUCUUUCCAGGCAUUAAAAUAAGGGAAGCAGGGGAGAGUUCCUCCAGAGCAGUCCUUGAUAAUGAACUUGCACGGAGAGGAAUAGAAACGCAUUCAACCGGUGAUGGACCAAAAGCCUAAAUCGAGGCUGGAUCAAGAUACAAGGGAAGACGGUCAGAGUUCAUAGAAAAUCGUUAGCAGACCAGAAACAAUGUGGAUAGCUCUGACAUGUGGUGCCUGCAGGUUGUGAUGCAGCGGAUGACUUGAGUUAUCAAGUAAGGGAUCGUCGUAGGGGCGCUUGUAGUCCCGCGCUGUCUAAUGGGGCGGUCAUGCUCGUGUUAAUUAAAUUAGGAUCACUAUUUUGAGCCAGGUGUGACAUGUUAGC